GACCCAAAAGAUGGCGAGCUAUAUGCCUGGGCAGGGCGAUACCGUAGGAAACUCCGCGGCGGUCCUGAUGUGCAAAUCACAUCGACCUGGGUAUAGGGGCGAAAAACGAAUCAAACCAUCCAGUAGCUGG
rnacentral:ncRNA from 1 species